rnacentral:lncRNA from 1 species
GGAGCAUUUGAAAAUAAUGAAAGGACAUUUCUAUGGACCAGAAGUGAAAACAUCUCCCCGAAACUAAAAUGCAAGCGAUAACUGGGAACCACGUGCCGUCUGCCCAUGGGUGGGGGCUGGAAAUCUUGCCAGGAUUUGUGGCCAGAAAAUGGUCCCCCAUGGCCAGGGACAGAAGCUAGUCAUUGACAUGAGUCCAGGGUGCAUCCUGCAUGGCACGAGUGGUGUGCACAGUGCUCUGAAGACAGAGCUUCUUCACCCUGUGUGCCCUGGAGGACCAGGGUGGAUACAACCAGGGAACCACAACACAUAGACACACAGACCCCAGUCCAGGAAGGAGAGAUGCCCUGCAGGAGACAGCUGCAGAAACAAACAAAGCACGUAGGACAAAAUAGCAUUGCGACAGUCACCAGACCACAUAGAGGAAGAUUCUUGCAGUAGCAUAAUCUUGGCUCACUGCAACCUCCGCCUCCUGGGUUCAAGCAAUUCUCCUGUCUCAGCCUCCUGUGUAGCUGGGACUACAGGUGCGUGCCACCACACCCAGC